rnacentral:rRNA from 1 species
AUUGAACGCUGGCGGCAGGCCUAACACAUGCAAGUCGAACGGUAACAGGAAACAGCUUGCUGUUUCGCUGACGAGUGGCGGACGGGUGAGUAAUGUCUGGGAAACUGCCUGAUGGAGGGGGAUAACUACUGGAAACGGUAGCUAAUACCGCAUAACGUCGCAAGACCAUAGAGGGGGACCUUCGGGCCUCUUGCCAUCGGAUGUGCCCAGAUGGGAUUAGCUAGUAGGUGGGGUAACGGCUCACCUAGGCGACGAUCCCUAGCUGGUCUGAGAGGAUGACCAGCCACACUGGAACUGAGACACGGUCCAGACUCCUACGGGAGGCAGCAGUGGGGAAUAUUGCACAAUGGGCGCAAGCCUGAUGCAGCCAUGCCGCGUGUAUGAAGAAGGCCUUCGGGUUGUAAAGUACUUUCAGCGGGGAGGAAGGGAGUAAAGUUAAUACCUUUACUCAUUGACGUUACCCGCAGAAGAAGCACCGGCUAACUCCGUG